UACGGAGGGGGGCUAGCGUUGUUCGGAAUUACUGGGCGUAAAGCGCGCGUAGGCGGCUUUGUAAGUUAGAGGUGAAAGCCCGGAGCUUAACUCCGGAACUGCCUUUAAGACUGCAUCGCUAGAAUCGUGGAGAGGUGAGUGGAAUUCCGAGUGUAGAGGUGAAAUUUGUAGAUAUUCGGAAGAACACCAGUGGCGAAGGCGACUCACUGGACACGUAUUUGACGCUGAGGUGCGAAAAGCGUGGGGGAGCAAACAGG
rnacentral:rRNA from 1 species